ACCACUGAACUCAAAUGAAAAAUCGACAGUGAAACUACCAAACCACGUAUCUCGGUUUGCGACGUCGCAGACUUCCUGUCAUACUUUAUUUUUUAAAUGGAAAACUACUUAACGUCCAGUCUUGAAAAUUUUUGUGAUUUUUCCUCUUUAUGCGGAGAAAAUUCUGUGAAAAUUUCAAGGAAUGAUAUUGAUUUGGUCUACUUCAAAAAAAUAAAAUGCGAGCGUAGAUUUUUAAACACCGCAAACGAGAUACGUGGUUUGGUAGUUUCACCGUCGAAAUGUAGUAGUUUCGUUGUUUUUUAGUUUUUCGAUACGUUUUAGAACCAGUGACACGACAAUUUUUAGCACGAGAUCCGAGAGAGUAUACAGAAAAAUUGAAGCAUAGCACAUAAGGAAAUCACGGUCAAUUUUUCAUGGGUAAUCCGAUUAUUGACUUCGCCAGACGCGCGAUAUCAGUACACUUCCAGUGCCAUUACGCUCAACAACCUUUUCGUUGAUUUGGAAAAUAGUGAAAAUCCUGAAUAUAUUUUAUGGCUACCGCACAUUCCUCAUUCCCACGGAUUUAUUUACUAUCAACAGUUCUAUUGUUAAGUUUUCUGAACAAUGUCACUGGAAAGCACAACGUAUGGUCAAAUGGAGUGGCAGGUGUCCUCAAGGAAACAGUCGCACACCAGGUUGAGAAAGCCAGCACAUUGCUCCAACAGUUCGAGAGGUACAUAGUGGAAUUCGGAAAGAGCUACAAAUCCCCAGCGGAGAGGAUGCUACGCUUUGACAUAUUCAAGGAGAACCUUCAGGUAAUUGAAAGGAUCAUGGCGACACGAAGAGGCAACGCAGUUUAUGGACUUGGCCCUUUCACCGAUCUUACAAGCAAAGAAUUCAUGUCGCUGUACGUAUCGGGCUUCAGACCCGGCUUGCGGCCAGAGUGGUGACCCGCCGGUCACCAGCCAACACCCCACCGAGGAGGGGGCGGGGGCACCAAAAAAUCCAUCGUCAAACCGAGCGGCAUAGACCUCCCGAAGCUGCUCCCGCCCAGGCGCCCCGCCGAAGACACACUCGGCGCCCCCGAGAAAACGAAGACCCCCGUGAGACUGGCAGAUAGCCCAGGGACUGGGCUCGAGACGCCUGGCAAGCGCCCGCGUUUGACACCGAAGCUCCCUGGGACCUGAAAGGGGCCAACGAGAAACCGGGACAACCGCCCCCAUCGCCGAUCACCAAGGGCCUUGAAAGUCCUGCCAGGGUGGUGCCAAGGGACCGGUGUUCCCCGAUUCUCCGCCCCCGAUAAGGCUGGAUUGGACCGAGAGGCUGAGGAUGUAUCCGUUCGUCGGGAGCCAGGUAAUGGAGAUGUUGCAUGUGUGAAAAAUUUGCUAUUUGACUAUUGAUUCGUUGUAAAAGUUCGCGAGAAACACAAUGGGGCCACUGGUUUUCCCUGAAUCAGCUCAAAAACAGCUCUCAAGUUGAGGCCAAAAUGGAGGGGAUAUCCCACACUGGAAAAAAAAGUCGCUUGGAUCUAGAGUCCAGACUAGAGUACCUUUAUAGACAGAGUAUGGCCAUUCGUAUAUUUUUACUACAGGAAAACUGUUCCGCUUUUUGAUUGGUCAACGAGUUUUUAGGCUUCAUGAUGCUCUUAGGGCCGUAAAUAAACAAACAAGAUGGCGGCUCACCGUAACAUCGAUAAGAAGCUAAAUUUGACAAAAAUUUCGAUUAUACGGCAGUAACAAUUUAAACUAGCAUAUCUACGAAUAACACACGAAAAACGCAUGAAAACAUUGUUAAACCGCCUUUCACCUUUAUCACAGGAGGAUGUAAGAUGUGCAUAACCUCAAUCUUGCUUGCUGAUAACAGCCAUCUUGUUUGUUUAUUUACGGCCCUAAGAGCAUCAUGUCAGCCUAUUCGCUCGCGACCAAUGAAAAACCGGAACAGAAAUGGCCAUACUCUGUCUAUAAAGGUACUCUAGUCCAGACUCUUGAAAACAAUGACAAGAAAAAAUACUCUUGAUUCAAUCGGAUUUUUACUCGGAUCAAAAGGAAAUCCGCUUAAAUUAAGAGGAUUGGUUCUUAAUUUAAGCAAAAAUCCGAUUGAAUCAAGAGUAUUUUUUCUUGUCAUCGUUUUCAAGAGUCUGGACUCUAGAUCCAAGCGACUUUUUUUUCCAGUGCACGCUAUCUGAGAGUCCACCUCUACAUCAAGACAAACUCUCCAUGCAAAGAUAGGGAGCAAAUACAUUAGCAGGGUUGCCGUGAUUUCAGUUUUGGAGUCCCCAAAUAAAGUGGCAGCCCUGUCAAUGUCUUCGCUCCCUAUCUUUGCAUGGAAGGUUUGUCUGGAUGUAGAGGUGGACUCUCAGGAUAGCGUGGGAUAUCCACUCCAUUUUGGCCUCAACUUGAGAGCUUUUUUUGAGCUUGGGAGUUGAUUUCAGAGAAAACCAGUGGCACCAUCGUGUUUCUCGCGAACUUUUACAUAAGAGACAAUAGUCAAAUCGCAAAUUCCUCACAAAUGCAACAUCUUCAUUUAGACUCCCCUCAUACUGAGAGAAAAGACAAUGCGAAUCCAUUUCUGAUUGGUUCCCGUAUUUGCGGCCUUCACAGUGCCGUGAUAGCGAAGAGAGCAAUAUCGGUCAAAUUUUCGAAAUCGAGUUUCCCUCAAAAUUCGUCUAAUCUCUUCUAGGUGAAGUUAGAGUCCCUUUAUACUGAGAGUCAAGACAAUUUGAAUCCAUUUCUGAUUGGUUCCCGUAUUUUAGGCCUCCACAGUGUCACAAUCGGGAAUAAAGAUUACAUUUUUACCGAUUGCAAAGAUUAUAAUCUAGAAUGGACCAGGGAAUUACGGGUUGGGCAAGAAACAAACAGAAUGAGAGGAGGAACGGAGAAAGGAAUUUGAGAAUGGACCGAUCUAAGAUUACGAAAAACGUUCAAUUUCUGUAAUCUUUAUUCCCGUUUGUGACAUCCAUGAGCCGAAUUGUCUUGACUCUCAGUAUAAAGGAACUCUAGGUGAAGUCACUGAAACAGCUAAAACAGCAAAGUUCAUUUUAUUUUUAUGAAAACGAGACAGGGAUUUCGAUCGCUCGACGUCCGGUUAUCGAAAUUCUCCUUUCCUAUCAUUGUUUCACUUUCGACAAGCGCUUGUAACUCGCAGGUGUAUCUGGGCCUUUAAGGAGCGGCUCCGCACGUUCCUCCUAAUUUAAAUAAUUGGACUUCAUUCUGCAAUUAUAGGAACAACAAUCCCGGCUCUACUUAAAAACAACGUAUGUAUCAUAUGUUUUCCUAUGCACGCACGUAUCCCUACGCAUGAGCCAGAAAUUGUAGUUCCUAAUUGCUAAAUGAAGUCCUGUAUCCUAUUCAGGUUCUUGUCCAUUAAUUUUUUUUUACAUUUUCGCCCUUUGCAGAAUUUGGGCGACAAAGUAUGUGGAGCUUGUUGGGCUUUUGCUGUCGGAGGAGCUUUGGAUGUGGCAGUUGCACGUCAGAGGGCAA
rnacentral:lncRNA from 1 species